rnacentral:rRNA from 1 species
GACGAACGCUGGCGGCGUGCUUAACACAUGCAAGUCGAACGGAAAGGCCCUGCUUUUGUGGGGUUCUCGAGUGGCGAACGGGUGAGUAACACGUGAGUAACCUGCCCUUGACUUUGGGAUAACUUCAGGAAACUGGGGCUAAUAUCGGAUAGGAGCUCCUGCUGCAUGGUGGGGGUUGGAAAGUUUCGGCGGUUGGGGAUGGACUCGCGGCUUAUCAGCUUGUUGGUGGGGUAGUGGCUUACCAGGGCUUUGACGGGUAGCCGGCCUGAGAGGGUUACCGGCCACCAUGGGACUGCGAGACGGACCAGACUCCUACGGGAGGCAGCAGUGGGGAAUAUUGCACAAUGGGCGGAAGCCUGAUGCAGCAACGCCGCGUGCGGGAUGACGGCCUUCGGGUUGUAAACCGCUUUCGCCUGUGACGAAGCGUGAGUGACGGUAAUGGGUAAAGAAGCACCGGCUAACUACGUG